UACGGAGGGUGCAAGCGUUAUCCGGAUUUACUGGGUUUAAAGGGUGCGUAGGUGGAGUGGUAAGUCAGUGGUGAAAUCUCCAAGCUUAACUUGGAAACUGCCGUUGAUACUAUCAUUCUUGAAUAUCGUGGAGGUAAGCGGAAUAUGUCAUGUAGCGGUGAAAUGCUUAGAUAUGACAUAGAACACCGAUUGCGAAGGCAGCUUGCUACACGAUCAUUGACACUGAGGCACGAAAGCGUGGGGAUCAAACAGG
rnacentral:rRNA from 1 species